AAAUAAAUUACACUCAAGACAAUAUUAAAAUUAAUUCGAAGUUACAAAUCAAUUUUCUAGUAGGAAUUGAUUUAUUUAAAUAACUUGACUAGGUUAAACUCAUAACCAUUUAUCCACAAGUUAUAAUUAAAUAAUUACACACAAGAUAAUAUGAAUUUAUGUAAAAUAAAUUUUAAGUUACAUAAUUAAUUUCCUAGACUCAACUUAUUUUUCUAGACUCAAUAACAUUAUUUGUCAUCAUUAAAACCGUGAAUACAACACGGUUCAAUUAUGGAAGCGUAACGAAUGACCCAUGAUACAAUGAUAAUGGUAAUUUGUACUACAUUGAUACCAUAAGGCAUCCAUAUAACCUGUAACACUAUAUUAUUAAGAUAAUAUAAACUGAACUACAACAAAAAAAAAAAAAAUCAAGCAAAAAUAUAAAUUUAUACCUCUUGAGCUGUCAUGUCAUCUAACCUCCAUCAGUUGUAACACCCCGAUUUUUGAAAUAGUUUAUUAUUUAUUUUAUUAACUAUAUUAUAUAUUUUAGUUUAUUUAAUAAUUAAAUUCAUUUAUCUUUAGGAUUUAUUUUGUAAAUAAUUUACAUGCUUAUAAUGGGACAAGUUUAGUAAGUAAGUUAACUAAUAAUAGUAAUAAGAGGAAAUAUACUCACAUAUAUGUAAGAAAGGGGAAAAGGGAAAAAUAAAACAAGAAAAGAAAAAAAAUAUAUAACAACAAAAGAACGACAUUUCAUAAUGCUUCACCACCGUUUAACCUCUUCACCAUCUCCAACAUCUUCACCAUUUUCUUCUCUCAAAAUUCUACCUUCAUCACACAACCACCACCGUGCCAACGACACAACCACAACCGCCACUAGAGGUGACGCCAUAGAAGUAGGCGGCGCAAGGAAGAAAAGGGGGGUCGUCGUUGCUGUAAUUUGGAGCAUUUGGUGCUCGAAUUAGGGGAGUUUGCAAGUUAUUUCUCAUCCUCAAUCUUCUAUAUUAGUGGAUUCCGGUUUCAUUAAGGAGCCGUAUUCACUGAGCUAGUUGGUUUGAUAUAGUUUAAAGGUACAUGAAGGCUUAGAGUCGGGGUAUGGGCGGAGAGCAACGUCCACUAGUUUUGCGUAAAUAUAGUUAUAAUAGUUCUGUUUUGGUGAAUUUCUUAUAUAUAUAAUCAAUAUUUUGAGACUUAGGGUUGUAAAUAUUAAUCCACCUAAAUCUGUAUUCGGCUGGGUUGUAAUAGUUUAAAAUAAGCUUUAAUUUAGUUUUGGUGCAGGUAGUUCUUCCUUAGCGAUUAUUCUCGUAAUAAUCGUGGAAUAACACGUUUGGAUUUCGAGUAGUUAUAACCGGAAUUUUGUUGGUAUUUGAAUGAGUGGAGUUGUUGGGAAUUUGGAAUUUGGAUUGCUGAUUUGUUGAAACAGGUUUAAAAUUCGGACGCGAGUCCUAAAUUAAAUUUUAGGCAGUCCAUUUUUCAAACGGAACUCUGCCGAAUUUUCUAUAGAAUUUUAAUAUUAUUUAAUUGAAUUAAUCACUCGAAA